GACGAACGCUGGCGGCGUGCUUAACACAUGCAAGUCGAGCGGUAAGGCCCUUUCAGGGGUACACGAGCGGCGAACGGGUGAGUAACACGUGGGUGACCUGCCUUUAGCUCUGGGAUAAGCCUGGGAAACUGGGUCUAAUACCGGAUACGACUCCGCGGUGCAUGCUGUGGGGUGGAAAGCCUUGUGCGGCUGGAGAUGGGCCCGCGGCCUAUCAGCUUGUUGGUGGGGUGAUGGCCACCAAGGCGACGACGGUAGCCGGCCUGAGAGGGCGACCGGCCACACUGGGACUGAGACACGGCCCAGACUCCUACGGGAGGCAGCAGUGGGGAAUCUUGCGCAAUGGGCGAAAGCCUGACGCAGCGACGCCGCGUGAGGGAUGACGGCCU
rnacentral:rRNA from 1 species